GCCCUUCAGGCCUAACACAUGCAAGUCGAGCGGUAGAGAGGUGCUUGCACCUCUUGAGAGCGGCGGACGGGUGAGUAAUACCUAGGAAUCUGCCUGAUAGUGGGGGAUAACGUUCGGAAACGGACGCUAAUACCGCAUACGUCCUACGGGAGAAAGCAGGGGACCUUCGGGCCUUGCGCUAUCAGAUGAGCCUAGGUCGGAUUAGCUAGUUGGUGAGGUAAUGGCUCACCAAGGCUACGAUCCGUAACUGGUCUGAGAGGAUGAUCAGUCACACUGGAACUGAGACACGGUCCAGACUCCUACGGGAGGCAGCAGUGGGGAAUAUUGGACAAUGGGCGAAAGCCUGAUCCAGCCAUGCCGCGUGUGUGAAGAAGGUCUUCGGAUUGUAAAGCACUUUAAGUUGGGAGGAAGGGCAUUAACCUAAUACGUUAGUGUCUUGACGUUACCGACAGAAUAAGCACCGGCUAACUCUGUGCCAGCAGCCGCGGUAAUACAGAGGGUGCAAGCGUUAAUCGGAAUUACUGGGCGUAAAGCGCGCGUAGGUGGUUUGUUAAGUUGAAUGUGAAAUCCCCGGGCUCAACCUGGGAACUGCAUCCAAAACUGGCAAGCUAGAGUAUGGUAGAGGGUAGUGGAAUUUUCCUGUGUAGCGGUGAAAUGCGUANAUAUAGGAANGAACCUCGAUGGNGAANGCANCCCCCUGGGUCAAGAUUGACGUUCAUGCCCGAAAGCGUGGGGAGCAAACAGGAUUAGAUACCCUGGUAGUCCACGCCCUUAACGACGUCUACUAGUUGUCGGGGGUCUUAAUUGACUUGGUAACGCAGCUAACGCGUGAAGUAGACCGCCUGGGGAGUACGGUCGCAAGAUUAAAACUCAAAAGAAUUGACGGGGACCCGCACAAGCGGUGGAUGAUGUAGAUUAAUUCGAUGCAACGCGAAAAACCUUACCUACCCUUGACAUGGCUGGAAUCCUCGAGAGAUUGAGGAGUGCUCGAAAGAGAGCCAGUACACAGGUGCUGCAUGGCUGUCGUCAGCUUGUGUCGUGAGAUGUUGGGUUAAGUCCCGCAACGAGCGCAACCCUUGUCAUUAGUUGCUACGAAGGAGGGCACUCUAAUGAGACUGCCGGUGACAAACCGGAGGAAGGUGGGGAUGACGUCAAGUCCUCAUGNCCCUUAUGGGUAGGGCUUCACACGUCAUACAAUGGUACAUACAGAGCGCCGCCAACCCGCGAGGGGGAGCUAAUCGCAGAAAGUGUAUCGUAGUCCGGAUUGUAGUCUGCAACUCGACUGCAUGAAGUUGGAAUCGCUAGUAAUCGCGGAUCAGCAUGUCGCGGUGAAUACGUUCCCGGGUCUUGUACACACCGCCCGUCACACCAUGGGAGCGGGUUUUACCAGAAGUAGGUAGCUUAACCGUAAGGAGGGCGCUUACCACGGUAGGAUUCGUGACUGGGGUGAAGUCGUAACAAGGUAACC
rnacentral:rRNA from 1 species